rnacentral:rRNA from 1 species
CCUACGGGCGGCAGCAGUGAGGAAUAUUGGUCAAUGGACGAGAGUCUGAACCAGCCAAGUAGCGUGAAGGAUGACUGCCCUAUGGGUUGUAAACUUCUUUUAUAUGGGAAUAAAACAGGGUAUGCAUACCCUCUUGUAUGUACCAUAUGAAUCAGGAUCGGCUAACUCCGUGCCAGCAGCCGCGGUAAUACGGAGGAUCCGAGCGUUAUCCGGAUUUAUUGGGUUUAAAGGGUGCGUAGGCGGCCUGCUAAGUCUGGAGUGAAAGGUACCGGCUCAACCGGUACAGGCUCUGGAAACUGGCGGGCUAGAGAGGAGGAGAGGGCGGUGGAACUCCAUGUGUAGCGGUAAAAUGCGUAGAUAUAUGGAAGAACAUCAGUGGCGAAGGCGGCCGCCUGGUCUGUUAACUGACGCUGAGGCACGAAAGCGUGGGGAGCAAAUAGGAGUAGAUACCCUUGUAGUC